rnacentral:sRNA from 1 species
UAUUGUAUGCCUGGGGCUUCAUGUACCC